AGAGUUUGAUUAUGGCUCAGAGCGAACGCUGGCGGCAGGCCUAAAACAUGCAAGUCGAACGAAACCUUCGGGUUUAGUGGCGGACGGGUGAGUAACACGUGGGAACGUGCCUUUUGGUUCGGAACAACUCAGGGAAACUUGAGCUAAUACCGAAUGUGCCCUUCGGGGGAAAGAUUUAUCGCCAUUAGAGCGGCCCGCGUCUGAUUAGCUAGUUGGUGGGCUAAAAGCCUACCAAGGCGACGAUCAGUAGCUGGUCUGAGAGGAUGAUCAGCCACACUGGGACUGAGACACGGCCCAGACUCCUACGGGAGGCAGCAGUUAGGAAUCUUGCGCAAUGGGGGAAACCCUGACGCAGCCAUGCCGCGUGAAUGAUGACGGUCUUAGGAUUGUAAAAUUCUUUCAGCGGGGACGAUAAUGACGGACCCGCAGAGAGCCCGAUCG
rnacentral:rRNA from 1 species